rnacentral:rRNA from 1 species
UACGGGGGGGGCAAGCGUUGUUCGGAAUUACUGGGCGUAAAGGGCUCGUAGGCGGCCAACUAAGUCAUACGUGAAAUCCCUCGGCUUAACCGGGGAACUGCGUCUGAUACUGGAUGGCUUGAGUUCGGGAGAGGGAUGCGGAAUUCCAGGUGUAGCGGUGAAAUGCGUAGAUAUCUGGAGGAACACCGGUGGCGAAGGCGGCAUCCUGGACCGAUAUUGACACUGAUGAGCGAAAGCUAGGGGAGCAAACGGG